AUACUUACUUGGCAGGGGAGACACCAUGAUCAUGAAGAUGGUUUUCCUUUGCACUCCAGCUGUGCUGAGCCCUGCAAUUUCCCCAAAUGCGGGAAACUCUGCUGCAUAAUUUGUGGCAGUGGGGGGCUGCGUUCGCACUUUCCCCUA
rnacentral:snRNA from 1 species